AUCUAUGGAAGAAAGUAAACCGAUAAGACAUACGUCUAAAAAACAAAUCAAUUGUUGCUUGGUGCUACUUACCGACUCCUCAAACAUUUGUUUGUUGGCGUUAUUGUCGCCGGUUCUCUGCGUGAUACAAAAAGAGCCCAAUGUAUUAUAACUGACAACGCAUUCGACUCGCAUUUUCAGAAAGUUGGUACCUUGGACUUGCCACUGUAGAGACGGAAGUCGGGGCCCUUGGAUUGCUGGGACUGUACGUAUAUCUAGAACACAACAGUCUCAGUUAUUAAUCCAGAAGGUGCCACGAUCAAAGAGAGCAGAAGCAAUUCGACUCCCAACAAAUAAACACGGUGGCAGUGUUAAGAUAGUCUCAAAUAGCAGGUUAGUUCCAAGAAAAUUCGGGAAAACUAUAGUGUAGUUAUGGUGGACAAUCUGGUGAACGACAGGCAGUUCCGAGAAAAAACGUCAAAAAUGUCCAAUUUUAUCAAAACUAACUAAUUAUUAAACUUACCUGACUGAUUGGGAUGGCGCCUGGCUCGCCCUGAAAUAGAAUCAUCAGCUAAUAAGUAAAACUGUUACAAGGCACGAACGUCUGUACAAAAAUAUACAGUAUGUAAUUACAGUAUGUAAACUGUGUGAGUGGUAAACACCUGAGUGCAGAAGUUUAUUGCAGACUUUCCAUUCUACUAUAAGUUUUUUUUCUCAUUAUACAUUAAGUUCUAAAUUGAAUCCUUCAGACACAUCGCGAAAAUAAUAUAAGGUAUGCAAUGUGACAAUUUGUUUACACUUACAGGUGGUCCUGGGGGUCCAGGGGGUCCGGGCGGUCCCUAGGGAGAAAAUGAUAUCAUAGAUUGAUAAACAAGUCGGAGAAGCAUAUAAUUCAGGGCAUGUUCUAUAGAACAAAACAUCCUGGAGGACUACUCACCACUCGACCAUCAUCUCCCUGUUGACAAAGAUCAAGAAAAGCCAUAAAUAACGUAAUAACCUAAACAAGUCAGGAAAAUUCACUCGGAGUGCCUUGUUGCCUUUUCACGUGAUGAAGAGCGCACACAGAGCACACAGUUGGGUGGUUGGUCCAGGAGAGACAGGGUACAAGAUGUGUAAUGGUCGCGUUCUCACCUCUGGUCCUGGGUCACCCUGUGGACCAAUAGGUCCGCGAGGUCCUGGGGAGCCCUGAGAGGUAAGAAGCAAUAAGUAAGUAAUGCUAUCACUGCCAGUGACAAUCACGGUUAGGCACGCACUCACAGCAAGUCACGCAAUCUCAGUUAGUCACACUCACAGUAAGUCACGCAAUCACGGCUAGUCACACAAUCACACAUAGUCACACUAUUAUAUAUGGUCACAAAAUUACAUUUGGGUCGCAGAAUAUCCAUACAAUAAAAGUUUGUCACAAAAUCGCCAUCUGUCACACAAUAAGAGCCAGUCACACAAUAACAGAUAAUCACACACACCAUGUGUCACACAAUCAAAGUCAGCAACAGAUAUGACAUGCAAUUACCAUGGAGCCCUUUGCGCCCUGUGUUCCGUUCCUACCGCCAUCUCCCUUCUCACCCUAAGAGGAAAGCAACAACGCGAUCGAAAUAUAGCACGUGAAAUACAUACAGCAAGGGCCGAAUGUAAGCCCAUAAAGAUGACACCUCAAUAAUGCAAAAACUGCUGAAAGCUAAUAGAACAUCCCUAUAACAAGCCUCAAAAAAGUAUUUUUAAUAAAGCGGAUUUUUUUUCUUAAUUCUAAAUUUUAAUUUUACAAUUUAUGACACCAUGGUUAUUUUAGAAACGUUUAUAUCGUACAAAAAGAUAAAUAUUUCUUACCUCCAGACCAUCAUCUCCAUAUUUACCAGGCUUGCCAGUGUAUCCUGGAUCGCCCUAAACAACGGCAAGGCAUAGUGAGAAUUCAGAAUAACGAUGAUAACAAUUACAAUGAGGCUGAUGAAUUAACUUUUACAAAUCAUUGCGAUGUCGAUCAUGUUAUCAUGAUGUCGAUGAUGAGCCAGCAGAUGCGUGGAUGGAAAGAUUCUAAUAUGAAUGAUGUAAUGAAACUAAUCCAUUACCUUAGGUCCCUCCAAGCCUUGAUCUCCUCUGUCUCCGGGAAGACCUUGUUUGCCCUGAGAGAUUGACACCAAUUAAAAACAGGCCUAGUUGAGUGAUAAAAUAAUAGUUUAUGACUUUUUAAGACGAUCUAUAAUCUACGAUCUACAUAAUAGAGGCAUUGCGUGACAAUGGAUAUGUGUCGCAUGACAUCUAGCGUCGCGUGACAUCAUCGAAGGGUGCUACGUGACACAACUGACAGCACUGCGUAACAUAAUUGAAGUGUGUUGUACAGUGAUGUGACAACACAGUACCUUGGGGCCUUGUGGACCUCUCUCACCGGGUGUUCCCUCUCUUCCUGGGUCACCCUAAAGGGAAAAGAACAGUUAGUUUACCUAUUACUUAACAAGAAUAAACAACUGUUGGAUACCACUUACAGGUUCUCCAAUGAUGCCGGCAGCUCCCUUGCUUCCUGAGUCUCCUGGCGGUCCCAUGGCUCCUGGAGUACCGGGAGAACCGGCUGAGCCGGGUUCCCCAUUGGCUCCCUAUCGCAAAAAAAAAAAAAAAACGUUUAAUAACACAGUUAUCUCUCGAGUCACAUAGAAUGAAGAGGUAGCCUUUGGUAAUAAAUAUAUUAAAGGACAUCUUUUUCUUUUCAAAGGAGUUUGCCUAUCCAUGCCGAUUGUGUACCGGCCUUUCUCCAGGCCUUAUAAAAUCCAUUGUAUUUUCUCAUAUCGACUACGUGCAUUGCCUUUGGCGUACUAGAGUUAUCUGUUUGUUUGUUUUUGUUUUUCAGUGUCGAAUACAAACCCUUUCUCCAGGCCUAAAAUACAUUGUAUUUCUUCUGUCGAAUACGUACAUUGAUUGCCCUUGGAGUACUAGAGUUAUCUGUUUUUUUUUUCAGUGUCGAAUACGAACCCUUUCUCCGGGCUGACCGUUCGCACCGUCCUGUCCGUUUAUACCAUCAGAGCCCUAGUUGAAACAACAGAUAACAAGUGAUUUUUUUAGUCCAAUUCUCUACAUCUGCUUGUGGAAACGUGACUUACAGGGACGCCAUUGGGUCCACGUGCUCCGGGUGGUCCUCGGCGACCGGGGAAUCCCUGGAAAUCAAGGAAAAUGAAUGACAAAACUGCGAUAAUAGAAAGAAAAACAAGCUGACAAAUGUUUAAGACGGUUAAAAUAUACAACAGUAAAAAAUACGGUAUGUUUUGUAAAAUUACUGUAUGUCUUGUAAAAAAGACUGUAUGUCAUGUAAACAAAAUACUGUAUGUCUUGUAAAAAAUACUGUAUGUCUUGUAAAAAAAUACAGUAUGUCUUGUAAAAAAUACUGUAUGUGAUGUAAAAAGAUACGGCAUGUCAUGUAAAAAUACUGUAUGUCUUGUAUAAAAUUCUAUAUGUCCUGUAAAAAAAUGUAUUUCUUGUAAAACAAAUACUUUAUUAUCAACGCUUAAUGUCUGACCUAACGGUACUUACUGGUGGUCCAACAUCGCCAUUGAUACCAUCCCGACCGGCUGGACCUGGGUCACCCUAUAACAUGAGGAAUAGUUUUAAUUAUGUAUGGAUCAAAGUCGUGUUUACUAGUUCACCAGAGCUACAAACAGGAGGUAAACAACGUGUUUAUAGUGUGGAUACUCGAUGUACUUGGCAAUGCCUUGGUAUAUUGAAAAAAAAAAAUCAAAUUUACUUGACAAAAAUUCAAUUUACUAGACAAAGACAAAUAUUUGAAUUAAUGGACAGGGAACGAUUCACAAGACAGAGAUUCGAUUGACUUGGAAAAGAUUCCAUUUACGUAACAAAACCUCUACUGUAAUGAAGAUUUACCUUCUCUCCUGCAGGACCAGAUUGUCCACGUAGUCCAGGAAGUCCGGACAGACCCUUCAAACAAAGGUAAUAUCAAAAAUUUAUGGCAAUAAAACAAAUUUGAAUUGUCAAUCAUGACUUACGGUGAAUCCGUCUUCGCCCUUCGCUCCAGUAGCUCCAGGGGGGCCUGGUAGUCCCUGUGAGAAUUGACAACAAGAUGAGUUCAGUAUAUUAGCAACUAAGAGUGAAGGGAAGUCGACGCGUGUAUGACUUACGGGUCGGCCAUCCUCUCCAGCUGGUCCCAUGUCUCCGUCUCGGCCACCAAUUCCAGGGAUUCCUGGGUUUCCAGGUAGACCAGGUUUGCCAGGAAAGCCGCUAGCACCCUAGACACAAAUGCAUCAAUAUAGGAUAUUCAUGAAGCUUUCUGGUUUAUCGUCGCACAUGAUCUUAAUUAGAUACACAGCAAUAGCAAGUAGAGAAACUAUACCUUGAUCCCAGGAAUACCAGGGUUUCCAGUGGGGCCGAUUGGACCUGGUGGACCCUAAGAUAUUAAAAAAUAAUAAUAAUAAUGAGUUUAAAUAUCUCAAUGGGGUCAUUAAAUCUACUGUAAUAACGGACAUGACGUGACGUUACAUAUUGUGAAUAUUUUAAGCAUCCAAUUUAUGGAUGGAAUACUGUACUAGGAUGUGUAGCCAGUAUGUACUUACAGGAGGACCUUGCACACCAGGUCGACCGUCUGAGCCAGUCGCUCCACGAGCUCCCUGUAGACACGAGUCACGAGAACAUGAGUACUGUACAAGAAUACCACCUCAAUGAAGUAGAAUACUUACAACCGGGCCGGGCAUUCCGCGGUCUCCUUUGUUGCCCUGGUUACCGGCCAUGCCCUGCAGGAGAAUGAAAAUAAAUUAUUUAAUAGAACCACGAAGCGACAACUUCGGGAGACACUUUAAUGACCGUAAAAUGCGCUAUCGAUGUCACGUGUUUUAUUAUAAAUUUCAUGUGUUUAGCCACGUGUAUAUCUACCAAUGGAAAUGGCAUGUGUUGUUACAAAUGACACGUGGUUCCACAUGUUUAGCUGCCAAAGGCACGUAGUAUUUCACGUGUUAAUCAAUCAAUGGCGCGUGAUGUACACGUGAUGUACUCACAGCGCCUCCUUGCACACCCUUGGGUCCCUUGGAUCCACGGUCGCCCUUAGCUCCUUUCUCGCCACGAGGUCCUUUAAGUCCGGGAGCUCCUGCCGGUCCAGGGGAUCCCUGUGUAAAACAAGCAUUAAUUUCGAAACGAAAUCAAAUCAAAACUGAACAAUUCAGAGAAGGCCUCUGUAUCCUAUUACUUACGGGACGUCCUGGAAGACCAGAAGCGCCGGAGGAUCCUUGUUGGCCACGCUCUCCCUAAACACGACAAAACAUCAGUAUACAAUCAUCCAACGAGCGCUGACACUUUUCCAACAAUAUUCCAUAUCAUUAGACAACAACAUACGGUAUACAUAGUGAAGUUCUUCACUGUACACUAAAGAUACAGUUAAAACGAUUGUGAAAAGGAAAAAUAUCCCCGGUGGAUUCCUAAGAACAUGUAUGGUCACCUGUUCGCCGUUCUUGCCGCGUCUUCCGGGAACACCUGGGGUUCCAGCGUAACCCUACAAGACAAAGAAAAUUGAAGUUAACGUGGAAACAGGAGAGACCAGCACUCUCAAGGGAUACACUUACCUUCUCUCCGGAGGCACCUGGAGGGCCUGGAGCUCCGUUAGCACCGUCGUUACCCUGGAUACGAGAUCAAACGACAAAUCUAAGCAACGGUUUUCAACUGGUUCAAGCAAAGAUAACUUUCGAGACAUCUAUAACAAGUUUGGAUAAGGGGAAGGGGGCGUCCACCCCUAACUACGCGUUUCUGUUUGUCGUGUUUUCCCGCCCAUUCCAUUCCAACUAUGUUGCUGAUGACCAAUAAAAGUACUGCUUCAAUAA